rnacentral:rRNA from 1 species
UAGGGAAUCUUCGGCAAUGGACGAAAGUCUGACCGAGCAACGCCGCGUGAGUGAAGAAGGUUUUCGGAUCGUAAAACUCUGUUGUUAGAGAAGAACAAGGACGUUAGUAACUGAACGUCCCCUGACGGUAUCUAACCAGAAAGCCACGGCUAACUACGUGCCAGCAGCCGCGGUAAUACGUAGGUGGCAAGCGUUGUCCGGAUUUAUUGGGCGUAAAGCGAGCGCUGGCGGUUUCUUAAGUCUGAUGUGAAAGCCCCCGGCUCAACCGGGGAGGGUCAUUGGAAACUGGGAGAAUUGAGUGCAGAAGAGGAGAGUGGAAUUCCAUGUGUAGCGGUGAAAUGCGUAGAUAUAUGGAGGAACACCAGUGGCGAAGGCGGCUCUCUGGUCUGUAACUGACGCUGAGGCUCGAAAGCGUGGGGAGCAAACAGG